CUUGCCCCUAAAGGCUUUAUAAGUGUGGCUGCUGUGACACGUGUGAGUCAGUAGGUAGCAGAAAGGAGAGAGGCUGUGUCUAAGCCCAGUGUUCUGACCUGUGAAUAUCUGACUGAUUAAUAGCCUAACAUU